rnacentral:lncRNA from 1 species
UUAGGGUACACAAUGUAGUGAACAACAAUUCCUUCAUCUGGUCUCAUAGAAUCUAAAUACAAAGUAGUCCUUUCUACCCUUUUUCCCAAAACAGAGUGUGGGCACUUGGAAAGUGAGUUUUACCCGAAGUUACGGAAAUGCCAAGAGCCUGAUAGAGGAUUGUGGAGCCUUGAGGCACCAAGACUCCAAGGAGUCGCAGCGUCUUUUGUUUUGGUAAGAGAAGUGAAUGGAAAGUUAGACAGAAACCGGAGGACACCACCAUCUGGGAGGAUGGUAAGGAGAACCUUAUGUUUCUUACAGUAUUUCCAGAUAUGAGUCAGUUCAAGCAGUGCGUUUCAGGCCCACAGUACAUGCAAAAAUUUCCAAGCAUGGAGAGUGA